rnacentral:rRNA from 1 species
AUUGAACGCUGGCGGCAGGCUUAACACAUGCAAGUCGAGCGGAGAUGAGGUGCUUGCACCUUAUCUUAGCGGCGGACGGGUGAGUAAUGCUUAGGAAUCUGCCUAUUAGUGGGGGACAACAUUCCGAAAGGAAUGCUAAUACCGCAUACGUCCUACGGGAGAAAGCAGGGGAUCUUCGGACCUUGCGCUCAUAGAUGAGCCUAAGUCGGAUUAGCUAGUUGGUGGGGGAAAGGCCUACCAAGGCGACGAUCUGUAGCGGGUCUGAGAGGAUGAUCCGCCACACUGGGACUGAGACACGGCCCAGACUCCUACGGGAGGCAGCAGUGGGGAAUAUUGGACAAUGGGGGGAACCCUGAUCCAGCCAUGCCGCGUGUGUGAAGAAGGCCUUAUGGUUGUAAAGCACUUUAAGCGAGGAGGAGGCUACUGAGACUAAUACUCUUGGAUAGUGGACGUUACUCGCAGAAUAAGCACCGGCUAACUCUGUGCCAGCCGCCGCCGUAAAAC